GCAUAUCAAUAAGCGGAGGAAAAGAAACUAACAAGGAUUCCCCUAGUAACUGCGAGUGAAGCGGGAACAGCUCAAAUUUGAAAUCUCCGCGGUUCCCCCCGCGGCGAAUUGUAGUUUCGAGAAGCGUUUUCGGCGGCGGCCUUGGCCCAAGUCCCUUGGAACAGGGUGUCAUAGAGGGUGAGAACCCCGUGAGGCCUUGGCUUGCCGCCAUGUGAUGCGCUUUCAAAGAGUCGGGUUGUUUGGGAUUGCAGCCCAAAACGGGAGGUAAAUUUCUUCUAAAGCUAAAUAUUGGCGAGAGACCGAUAGCGAGCAAGUACCGUGAGGGAAAGAUGAAAAGCACUUUGAAAAGAGAGUUAAAUAGUACGUGAAAUUGUUGAAAGGGAAACGAUUGAAGCCAGUCGUACCGACGGAGAAUCAACCUUUGGAGUGUUAGUUGCGGGUAUUCGAGGAGUCUAAAAGCCUUCGUGUGCUUGCAAAUUGGUGCUUCUUGGGUGCACUUCUUCGUAUUGGUAGGUUAACAUCAAUUUUGGGCGUUACAAAAUGACCGGGGGAAUGUAGCUUCGAUUUUUCGAAGUGUUAUAGACCAAGGUAGAUGUGACGACCGGGAUUGAGGAUUGCAACGAAUGCCUUCGGGCUAUCCGCCUGGCCUCUGAUGGUUGCCCUGGGGUCGAAAGCAUGCUUACGGCUUCAAGGCUUGGCUGUCAAAAGGUUAGAACGUGAUUAAAUUCGUUAAGGAUGUUGACGUA
rnacentral:rRNA from 1 species